rnacentral:rRNA from 1 species
GACGAACGCUGGCGGCGUGCUUAACACAUGCAAGUCGAACGGAAAGGCCCUGCUUUUGUGGGGUUCUCGAGUGGCGAACGGGUGAGUAACACGUGAGUAACCUGCCCUUGACUUUGGGAUAAAUUCAGGAAACUGGGGCUAAUACCGGAUAGGAGCUACUGCUGCAUGGUGGGGGUUGGAAAGUUUCGGCGGUUGGGGAUGGACUCGCGGCUUAUCAGCUUGUUGGUGGGGUAGUGGCUUACCAAGGCUUUGACGGGUAGCCGGCCUGAGAGGGUGACCGGCCACAUGGGGACUGAGAUACGGCGCAGACUCCUACGGGAGGCAGCAGGGGGGAAUAUGGCACAAUGGGCGGAAGCCUGAUGCAGCAACGCCGCGUGCGGGAUGACGGCUUUCGGGUUGUAAACCGCUUUCGCCGGUGACGAAGCGUGAGUGACGGUAAUGGGUAAAGAAGCACCGGCUAACUACGUG